UUAUGUACCUGGCAGGGGAGAUACCGUGACCACGAAGGUGGUUUUCUCAGGGUGAAGCUUACUCAUUCACUGCUCUCUGGAUGUGCUGACCCCCAUAAUUUCUGCAAAUGUGGGAACCUCCAAUGCAUAAUUUGUGGUAGUGGGGGAUUGUGUUUGUGCUCUCCCCUG